rnacentral:rRNA from 1 species
AUUGAACGCUGGCGGCAUGCUUUACACAUGCAAGUCGAACGGUAACAGGCCGCAAGGUGCUGACGAGUGGCGAACGGGUGAGUAAUGCAUCGGAACGUGCCCAGUCGUGGGGGAUAACGCAGCGAAAGCUGCGCUAAUACCGCAUACGAUCUAUGGAUGAAAGCGGGGGACCGUAAGGCCUCGCGCGAUUGGAGCGGCCGAUGUCAGAUUAGGUAGUUGGUGGGGUAAAGGCUCACCAAGCCAACGAUCUGUAGCUGGUCUGAGAGGACGACCAGCCACACUGGGACUGAGACACGGCCCAGACUCCUACGGGAGGCAGCAGUGGGGAAUUUUGGACAAUGGGCGCAAGCCUGAUCCAGCAAUGCCGCGUGCAGGAAGAAGGCCUUCGGGUUGUAAACUGCUUUUGUACGGAACGAAACGGUCCUGGUUAAUACCUGGGGCUAAUGACGGUACCGUAAGAAUAAGCACCGGCUAACUCUGUGCCAGCCGCCGCAGUAACAC